CUGCCUUCCAGUCUACCAGGUGAAACGCUCACAACACAGUUGCGUUGGAGCAUACUGCCUUCCAUCUACCAGGUGAAACGCUCACAACACAUUUGCGUUGGAGCAAACUGCCUUCCAGUCUACCAGGUGAAACGCUCACAACACAGUUGCGUUGGAGCAUACUGCCUUCCAUCUACCAGGUGAAACGCUCACAACACAGUUGCAUUGGAGCAAACUACCUUCCAAGCUACCAGGUGAAACGCUCCCAACACAGUUGCAUUGGAGCCAACUACCUUCCAGGCUACCAGGUGAAACGCUCCCAACACAGUUGCGUUGGAGCAAACUAAAUUCCAAGCUACCAGGUGAAACGCUCCCAACACAGUUGCGUUGGAGCAAACUACCUUCCAAGCUACCAGGUGAAACGCUCACAACACAGUUGCGUUGGAGCAAACUACCUUCCAAGCUACCAGGUGAAACGCUCACAACACAGUUGCGUUGGAGCAAACUGCCUUCCAGUCUACCAGGUGAAACGCUCACAACACAGUUGCGUUGGAGCAAACUGCCUUC
ensembl:lncRNA